rnacentral:lncRNA from 1 species
GUCGUGAACUCUGCUUUUCAAACACGACAGAUUGUUCCAGACAUUCUUUACAAGGACAUAUUAACCUCUUAAACUCUGUGCCUGCAAACAAGACAGAGUGCUCUUCUGAGCAAAUACGAAGGGCUGAAGUCCAGCUGCUCGCUCUGGGCUUCUUGAGCUUGAGUCAUCAAUCUCGUGAGACAGUUGGAGUGUUCUGACAGACAGAUAAGGAAGGAGAACUGUAUUGUCAGCAGACGAGGGGGCUGCCCGAACAAACUGUAUAAAAAUAAACGUGACUGGGUCCUCGGGGCUGCAGUCUUGUCCUGUCUUUGCGCGUGUUGUUUCUGUCAUUUCUUCCUCACAGAUCUAAAAGGACCGCAACAAAUGGUGCCCGAACAGGGACCAGACUGAAGAAGAAACCUAAAGGGAGGGACGAGAGGGGCUCAGCGUGGCCUACCAGGGGAGCACCCACUGUGACUGGCGACAUCACGAGCAGCUGGGGGGGAGUUUACAGAAGAACUGGUCUGCAGACUUCAAAGCUGUCAAGGUCAUCGCUGUUCUUCGUCCUCAGAGGGAUCAUCUCUAAUGGUGCCGGAAGCACGACACAGACCAUUGGCUAAAACAAGGGUGGUGUGGCCGGCAGCAAUGAUGGGGGGCAGGGCUGGCUUCCCUCUAGCUGGUCUGCACCACUGCUGGGAGAACGGCCGUGGUCUGCACCUGGCUUGCCCAGUUGUGUAGCCUGCUUUCAGCCACGUCCCUCAGCAAAUCCGUACACUGGUGUCUCUGAGACGGCGGGACCUCUGGAGGGGAAGGGGUCUGUUGGCAGCGUAAGAGCUAAUCCUGACUAGAAGGAGUUAAAACUCUACUAGAGAAAUUCCAGCUGCAAGGAUAGGGGCAGAGAAAGAGGAAAACCGGAUUAAAACAACAAAAGGCACAGGUGACAGCAGGGGCUUGGCAGAGAGGGAGCUGAGCCGAGUGCUUGGAAGUCAAAAGGCGAAAAAGCUGAGCUAGCUGUUCCUCCCCACCGCUCGGAGAACGUAGGGGAGAUGGAAGGGGAAGAGGGUAAACUUUGGGGAAAUCUCUGUACAUCAAGUUCUGGGUAGAGGGUGGAGUCCCUGACACCCUAUAAGAAAGGCCAGAGACAAAGACCCAUGGGCCCCCCAUCUUUCUGAAGCUCCCUGCCCUCUCUUCAGAGCCGCUUUCUAUCUUUUUCCUUCCCCCCUUACAAAUAAACAGUCUUCCUUUCUAAACUCCGCUCCUUUAAUUUGUUACUGGUACUGAGUUUAUGAUCCCAGUUAGCUGCUCAUCUCAGCAGAGCAGUGUUGCUUGUACCCAGACAUUUUUCUCUGUCUGUGUGUGUGUGAUGCUAGGGAUUGAACCCAGGG